AUGCCCUCGACACUGCCGUGGACAAAUGUAGCAGAGGGAUUGUUAAUGGAGUACGAGAAGAAGGUCGCGGAGAAGGUGUGGAGAUGCAGGAGGUCUGGGGCGGUGUCACCUGGCUGUGGUGGAGGUGUUUAUGCGAGAAGGAGCCGGAGUGGAAGGAGAGGUCAUAAUUGGAAAGAAUCGCAAAAAAUCAUAACCCAGAGGAAAGUUUGCAAAUGUUAA
rnacentral:rRNA from 1 species